UUGAUACUGUAGAGCUAGGAUUAGGUUGCUGUGGGCGGAAUGUGUGGUGUAGCGGUGAAAUGCUUAGAGAUCACACAGAAUAUCGAUUGCGAAGGCAGCUCACAAAGCCUAAAUUGACGCUGAGGCACGAAAGUGUGGGGAUCGAACAGGAUUAGAUACCCUGGUAGUCCCGACCUUAAACGGUGCAUACUCGCGGUUGGGGGAUUUCACCCCUCCAGUCGCUUAGCUAACGCGUUAAGUAUGCCGCCUGGGGAGUACGGCCGCAAGGCUAAAACUCAAAGAAAUUGACGGGGGCCCGCACAAGCAGAGGAGCAUGUGGCUUAAUUCGAUGCAACGCGAAGAACCUUACCUGGAUUUGACAUGUAUCUGCACGGCUUAUGAAAGUAGGCUUCCUUCGAGGGUGAUACACAGGUGCUGCAUGGCUGUCGUCAGUUCGUGCCGUGAGGUGUUUGGUUAAGUCCACCAACGAACGCAAC
rnacentral:rRNA from 1 species